AAUAUCUGUGAGCAGGGAGGCAGCUAGCCCAUGCAGUACCCCUGUAGGAAAAAGGAAAUGGUGCUCUCCAGGCAAGACCGCUUACAAAAAGGCACCUCUUCAGGCUAACACAGCCCUUAGCUCUGGACCAAGUGAGCCCAGAGCCUGUGCUGAGCAACAACCUGGGUGGGCAGCCCUGUGUGUGAGCAUAAUGGGCUGUACUGGAAACAAUGAAUUCAGGAUAUUCCAGUUACUAUGGCUGCAUAACAAACUAUGCCAAAACUCAGUGGCUUAAAACAAUAACAUCAUUUAUUUUGCUCAGAAAUCUGCAGAUUGGACAGGGCUCAGCAGGGAUAGGUUCUCUGUGCUCACUCAGCAUAAGCUGGGACAGCUUGCAGGCUGAGGCCUGAAGUCAUGUGAAGGCUCUCUCUCACGCAUCUGGUGGUUGAUGCUGGCUGAUGGCUGAGAUUCAAGCUGGCGUGCCUGCCAGAGCACUCACAGAUGCUUCUCCAUGUCACCUGGGCUUCCUUCCAACAUGGCGGCUGGUGUUCCAUAGACAAGGCAACAGAGGCCAGAGGAGGUUCAGUGACGCACCCAGGGCCACAUAACCAGUGAAUGUUGGGGAUCAGAUUAGAGUGCCCACGUCUCCAGCCUCCUUCUGCCAUUGACACCAUCCAUCGACCAUCCGGGCAAGACCCCCGCACCGCCCCCAAGGGCGCAGGCUAGAUUUCACUGCCAAGCCAAUAAGGUCAGCAACAGCACUUAUGGUGCUGGACCAUAAAUGAAACAAGCUUUGAGAGCUAACUGCCACCCCAGAGGCCUCAGGGAGGAGGUGGCUGCCCUCAAAGGCUCAGUCUCGUAUUCUGUAACCUCUCUACCCUGAAGAGGAUCCCACCAGCUGCCUCUUCUUCCAGAUCCUGCCAAGAAUUAGGCAUCUCCCAACCCCACUCCUGGGCCCCUUCUCCACAUUCUCCCUGCCAAUCAUCCCCUUUAAACUAAUAAAAAACGGUGAAUAAUUUUC